GUAAUUUGAAGGUUGGGGAAAAAGUAACGUGUUCUUCUAAGUCUAUUGGAAAAUGGCGCCACAGAGGGUGAUAGCCCCGUCUGAUUCAACACAAUACAUAUCUUCCCCCUCCAAAGAGUCGAGUUGUUUGGGAAUGCAGCUCUAAGUGGGUGGUAAAUUCCAUCUAAAGCUAAAUAUUGGCGAGAGACCGAUAGCGAACAAGUACAGUGAUGGAAAGAUGAAAAGCACUUUGAAAAGAGAGUGAAAAAGUACGUGAAAUUGUUGAAAGGGAAGGGCUUGCAAGCAGACACAACUUUUUGUUGGGCCAGCAUCGGGGGAGUAGGAGGCAAAAAGGAGUAGAAAUGUAGCUUCGGUGUUAUAGUCUGCUCUCAUACCUCCCCACCCUCCCGAGGCCUGCGUAUCU
rnacentral:rRNA from 1 species